rnacentral:rRNA from 1 species
GACGAACGUUGGCGGCGUGCUUAAUACAUGCAAGUCCACUGAAGCAGUGGUAGCAAUAUCGCUGUGGAGGUGGCGCACGGGUGAGUAACACGUAGGUAAUCUGCCUUCAGGUCUGGCAUAACUCCGGGAAACCGGGGCUAAUAGCAGAUGAUGCAGCGGCUCGACAUCGAGACAGUUGUUAAAGCUAUGGCGCCUGAAGAUGAGCCUGCGUCUGAUUAGCUAGUUGGCGGGGUAACGGCCCACCAAGGCAACGAUCAGUAGCUGGUCUGAGAGGAUGAUCAGCCACACUGGAACUGAGACACGGUCCAGACUCCUACGGGAGGCAGCAGUAAGGAAUAUUGCUCAAUGGAGAAAUCCUGAAGCAGCAACGCCGCGUGAGGGACGAAGGGCUUUUGCUUGUAAACCUCUGUAGUGAGAGAAAAAAAUCCCAAUCUUUGGGACAUGGUGGUAUCUCAAAAGUAAGCCCCGGCUAACUACGUG